CAAUUCUCACCAUUAUGAUUGCGCCAAUAUACAAAAUCUACAUUGGCAAUUUAGCGCGUGGAACAUCGAUAUCAAUACAAGAUGGAAUGUGAACUAACAGAUCCACAUACAGAAAUCUCAUAGUAUGAAACAACAAACCAUUGUAAAUAUCAAAGGUGGUACACAAGAUUAGGGUGAGAAAAAAAGGGGAGUCCUAAAAUUACCUAGUGUCACGCAAUGGACACCUUGGCGCCGACCUCCUCGAGCUGCUUCUUGGCAUCCUCGGCCUCGUCCUUGCUGACACCCUCCUUGACCUUCUUGGGGAGGCCCUCGAUGAGGUCCUUGGCCUCCUUGAGGGCCAGGUUGGAGAGCGCGGUGGAAGCCAUGGGGAUGGGGGGAGUGAGCUCUCGCUUCCGGAGUUGAGGUGAGCUGCGGGAGGAGGAAGCGAGGAGACGGGGGGAUAAGAUGAG